GGCCUACCAGCCUAUUAUUCCACUUUGUCAAAAAAAUAAUGCACCGUGUGGAUAAUCUAUAUUUAUACAAGGGAAGGAACGUUUCCACCCUUUCUCAGGAAAACGAAAGUUAUCAGAAUGUACAAUCUUCGAUAGACUUUCAGUAUUGACAGACAGAGAUUUGACUGCGCGAAGAAGAGUCGACAAAACGAUCGGCUACAUCAAGAUGAAGUGUCCUGGCUGUGGUCACCAAGUGGAAAAAUCGUCAAAAUUUUGCAGUGAAUGCGGGUUGAGGUUAGCUGCUCAAAUUUGCACCACAGGUGGGACCACUUCAGAGCAUCAAACAUCUGUGGUCCGUGAAGCAGAGCCCCAGAAGGAGGCUGCGCCACUGACGUGGGCAGGGAACAAGACCGACGCGCCUACGAAACACUCCAGUGAAGAACCAGGGGGCAAUGUCAAGAAAAAGGUCCCAAAUCUCCACUAGAAUAUAGAGCAUAUGCAGAGUCAGGAUUGUUUUACACACCGGUAGUUCAAAAUUCGGUAACACUUUACUUAAAGCAGAUGGGUAAUGUUGUUUCAUUUCCUGUUAUGAGCAUUCAUACGCCUUUUUAUAAUGUCAUCUUAUUAAAAAGGCUUCUAAUAUUUAGGUUUUUUGUAAACACUUUUUAAAUGACUCAACAUCUGUCGUUAAAGUCAGAGUAUCAUUAUUAUGAGACGAUAAGAGAUUUACAAUUAUAUAUUUGUUUAAACAGAACCAGUCACACUUUCAAUUUGUGACGUUAGGAUGUGACCAGACGUGGGUUUUAAGUCAAGGGAACCCAGUGAAAUUAGCAUGGAAUGGGAACGCUUUAAUGGGCAGGGCUUAUGAAUCAGAAAUGCUGAUCCUUAAUGAUUUAUGUGUUAAAAGGCCUCAUUUUUGUAUACAUUGUUCAUAGAGUGGAGGCUCUUCCAGCGCUAUUGAGCUGAGCACUGACACACGUCAAGAGAAAGAUGAGUUGUCUGUCAGUGAGAGCUCUACUUCAGUGGUGGAUGACCCUCCUGUCAACACCACUACACCUACUGGCCCUCCUGUUAACACUGCCACACGUACUGGCCCUCCUGUCAACACUGCCACACCUACUGGUCCUCCUGUCAACACCACCACACCUACUGGCCCUCCUGUCAACACCGCCACACCUGCUGGCCCUCCUGUCAACACUGCCACACCUACUGGCCCUCCUGUCAACACCGCCACACCUACUGGCCCUCCUGUCAACACUGCCACACCUACUGGCCCUCCUGUCAACACCACCACACCURCUGGCCCUCCUGUCAACACCRCCACACCURCUGGCCCUCCUGUCAACACYRCCACACCUACUGGCCCUCCUGUCAACAUUGCCACACCUACUGGCCCUCCUGUCAUCACCGCCACACCUACUGGCCCUCCAACCAUACCUAUAGCCUCUCCAAACCCAUCCCCACACCAGACACUGCCAGAAGACCAGGCCAAGGGUCCAUCGAAGGCAAACGUAGACGCACCAGUGAAUGAGCCAAACCAACCUAGUCCUACAUCAGUCACACAGGCCUCAUCCACACCCGAGACAGCUGAUCAGAACACAGGAGGACGUGCCUCAGACCCAACUCAACCAGCCAGUAAACUCUUGGAUGAGGAAGACCUGAAGGGGACGUCACACGGGUCAACGGAGCCAUCAAAAAGCCUUGAUGGUGAAGGCAACACAGAGGUUAGAGUUCUGAAUGAACUGAAGACCUCUAGUAACCAGACCGACGAGAAUAUAACAAAUGAAGCAAACUCAAAGAAGUGUGUUGACCAAUCCCAAGUAUCCCUUGGUGAUCAGAGGGGUUCUGACCCAACAGAUGAGCCAAACACUAGUCAAAAACAAUCUACUAGUCCAGCUCCCUCAGUAACACAGGAGGUGCCUGAGAAGACAUCUAAGAGAAAAGAUCAGAACAGAACAGAACCUGCCUCAGGUCCAAGUCAAUCAGUAGGGCAGUUGUCAUAUAAAGACGUUCUGGUGGGGACCUCUCAGGAGACGGGAGAUCUGUCCAGGAGGCAAGGGGUUGGCGACAGUAACUACAGAGACCAGAGCAGGAAAAAUGAAGCAAACUCACAGAACUUUGUUUUUGGAUCCCACAAGGCAGAGGCUGGUGACAAGCCUCAAGAAUCAAGGCAAGCGACUUCCAAGCCAAACAAGGAACCAGAGAAGCUGAGUUAUAUGGGUGGUGGAGAUGCAUCCAAGUCAUCUACUAUUGACGCCACAGUUGCAGGGAAAGAUCUGCCUCUGAACCAACGUAAUGAAGACUGCUUCCAACAUCAGCCACUGCCACCUCAGCUUCCACCAAGAACACAACAUGUCCCUAGGAGUGAUGACCUCACCGUCUAUUUCCAUGCUGUCAUUUCCAAAGACUUCAAACUGAACUCAACUGACCGGAUAUUCUUAAGAUCUGGAAGUCUUUUUGGAUCUUGGGACAUAGAUGGCCCAGAAAUGUUUGUCACCCGGUAUGGUCUUUAAUUCAAAUAAUGUAAUUGUGUGUAGAAGGAUAUUAGUAUACCCUGGAUACAUUACUGAAAUACCUCACUGUCAUUGAUCAAAAUUAUAAUCUUUUUAACUGAUAACAAUUUCAAGAUGGAUGUUUAGACCAGUUGUACAUUAUCUUCAUUCAACUUAUAUCAACAUGAUAUUUAGUCACAUAUUUUCUGUUGUUUACACAGAGUUUUGGGGAAAGAUAGCGUCCUUGUGGCAGGACGAAUGGUGAUUCCCGACAGGAGUAAGAUUGAAAUUCGCUCCAUACCCUAUAAAUAUUUUGUUUAUAGUAAGUGGAAUGGGAAGCACUAUGAUCACGGUACAUAUGAGCACAUCUACCAGACAAACUCCAGGUAUAUUGUCAACAGGUGCCUGUCCAUCAAUCAAGAUCUUUUGACACAUGAAGGUACAGUUGAGUGUCUAAUUCCAAAUACUGCACUUGCAAUUCCAACACAUUUUGUUGAGAUAAGGUUAGACCAGGGGUGGGCAACUGCUGGCCUGCGGCCCCUUUUGAAGUCCCUUGGAUACAUAUCCUAAACUUAUUUGGGGGGGAAUUCAGUCGGGGUCUCAAUUUACUGUUGCAAGUGAAAAUAGUAGAAUACACAAGGUGCAAUUUUGAAAUGUGGUUGUGUAUCAGCAGUUUUUCUCUUAUGGCCGUCACUGAUAGUCAGUCAAUUAGCCAAUGUCAGCAAAAACAAAUGUCUUGCUAAGUUAGUUUAGCGUCCAUCUAUCAUGGUCGAAUUGAUUUAGUGGCAAAAUGAGUAGAAUUGCAUGAAAUUUGUUAGAAAAUUGCAAAAUCUGUUAUUUUCUACAGGGUUUUUCUUGACUAUUUUCUACAUUGUAGAAUAAUAGUGAAGACAUCAAAACUAUGAAAUAACACAUAUCGGAUCAUGUAGUAACCAAAAAAGUGUUCAAAGUAGCCACCCUUUGCCUUGAUGACAGCUUUGCACACUCUUGGCAUUCUCUCAACCAGCUUCAUGAGAUAGUCACCUGGAAUGCAUUUCAAUUAACAGUUUUGCCUUGUUUAAAAGUUCAUUUGUGGAAUUUCUUUCCUCAAUGCGUUUGAGCAAAUCUGUUGAGAAAAGGUAGGGUUGGUACACAGAAGAUAGUCCUAUUUGGUAAAAUACCAAGUCCAUAUUAUGGCAAGAACAGCUCAAUAGUUUUUUAAUUUAACCUUUAUUUAACUAGGCAAGUCAGUUAAGAACAAAUUCUUAUUUACAAUGACGGCCUAACCCGGACGACGCUGGGCCAAUUGUACGCCGCCCUAUGGGACUCCCAAUCUCGGCCGGUUGUGAUACAGCCUGGAAUCGAACCAGGGUCGUUAGUGACAACUCUAGCACUGAGAUGCAGUGCCUUAGAACGCCUCGCCACUCGGGAUCAAAGAGAAACGACUGUCCAUCAUUUUUUUAAUGACAUGAAUGUCAGUCAAUCCGGAGAAUUCAUGUGCAGUCGCUCUCAUGAGGCCUGCCACAGGAACUGCACCUCAGAUUGCAGCCCAAAUAAAUGCUUCACAGAGUUCAAGUAACAGACACACCUCAACAUCAACUGUUCAGAGGAGGCUGCUUGAAUCAGGCCUUUAUGGUCGAUUUGCUACAAUGAAACCACUACUAGAGGACACCAAUAGGAAGAUACUUUCUUGGGCCAAGAAACACGAGCAAUGGACAUUAGAUCGGUGGAAAUCUGUCCUUUGGUCUGAUGAGUUUCCAACACGUGUGGUUCCCACCGUGAAGCAUGGGUAGGAAGUGUGGAGUGGAGUGCUUUGCUGGUGACACUGUGAUUUAUUUAGAAUUCAAGGCACACUUUUAACCAGCAUGGCUACCACAGCAUUCUGCAGCGAUACACCAUCCCAUCUGGUUUGUGCUUAGUGGGACUAUUAUUUGUUUUUCAACAGGACAAUGACCCAACACACCUCCAGGCUGUGUAAAGGCUAUUUGACCAAGAAGGAGAGUGAUGGAGUGCUGCAUCAAAUGACCUGGCCUCCACAAUCACCCAACCUCAAUCCAAUUGAGAUGGUUUGGGGUGAGUUCAACAGCAGAGUGAAGGAAAAGCAGCCAACAUGUGCUCAGCAUAUGUGGGAACUCCUUCAAGACUGUUGGAAAAGUAUUCCUCAUGAAGCUGGUUGAGAGAAUGCAAAGCUGUCAUCAAGGCAAAGUGUAGCUAUUUUGAAGAAUCUAAAAUAUAUUUUGAUUUUGUUAACUUUUUUGGUUACUACAUGAUUCGAUAUGUGUUAUUUCAUAGUUUUGAUGUCUUCACUAUUAUUCUACAAUGUAGAAAAUAGUAAAAAUAAAUAUAUAUAAUAAUAAAGAAAAACCCUUGAAUUAGUAGGUGUGUCCAAUCUUUUGACUGGUACUGGUAAAUAAAUAAAGGUGACAUUCUGUACUGUCGCCUCAUAUAUAAAACAUUUGGCCUCAUAUCCAAAAUGCUGGAAUAUAGAGCCAAAUUCAACUUUUUAGCUAGUGUCCAAAUAAAAUAAGUUGGUGUAUAUUUUAACAAAACUGUGAUAUUCUUUCUCUUAAGGGGAAUGGCACCAGUAUGACGAUGUCAUAUAUCCAGAACCAAAACAAGACGUUUUGUCACGUGUUACAAACUUGUUUCAGUGGUGGGAUAACAUCAAUAGCAACUUAGUAAAGGGAAGACAGCUGGCUGGAAAGGUGAUGUUGGAAGGCAUAUUUGAUCUUCUGAGAACCUGGACUGAAGUGAAUGUGAGGAGUUUCUUUUCCCAGCUUCAGCAAUUCUUCACCACAUACAGCUAUCCCUGUGUCUAUGACGGUGGAAAGACACCAUGGCAAUUAUCGUUUGGAGAAGAACAGGUAUAUUUAAAUUGGACAUCGAUAGAAUGCUGCAUUGCAUGUAUAGUGCUUAUAGAAAGUCUAUACUCCCUGAACUUUUUUCACAUUUUGUUGCGUUACAAAGUGGGAUUGAAAUAGAUUGAAUUGUAUUUUUUUUUAUUGAUCUACACAAAAUACUUGAUAAUGUCAAAGUGA
ensembl:lncRNA